rnacentral:rRNA from 1 species
CGGGUGAGUAAUGCAUAGGAAUUUGCCUUGAAGUGGGGGAUAGCCCGGAGAAAUCCGGAUUAAUACCGCAUAUGCUCUACGGAGCAAAGUGGGCCCCUGAUUUAAGCUCAUGCUUUGAGAUAAGCCUAUGUCGGAUUAGCUUGUUGGUGGGGUAAAAGCCUACCAAGGCGACGAUCCGUAGCUGGUUUGAGAGGAUGAUCAGCCACACUGGGACUGAGACACGGCCCAG